UUUUGCGUUCUGAUUGGUUACCUUCAGCACAUGGCUUCACUCAUAGUUAUUAACUCAUAGUUAUUGUAGCGUGAUUCUGUCGCACGUGUCACUUUGGAGAAGGAUCAUUUAAACGCCAGAAUUCACCAUUUUGUUCGGUCAAAACGCAAACAAAUAAAGUUAGUAGCAGAGCGCGUCACGUGACGCCGCGUCUUCAUAGUUGUGGGCGGAGUCAGGAAGCCGGAAGUAAGAUGCGGCGGGGAGUGAAUUAUGGCUGAGCAGAAGACAUUUAUGUCCACAGCUGGAUAGAAGUUGGGUAGAAGUGAACAUUGCCGAUGGAUACCUGCCUACAAAUACAACUGUCUACUGCAGACGACGUGUUUCAAGGACAUGGUGAUCAUAGAGGUGGAAACUGCUGCUCGAGGGUGGAGAAAGUAUAACACCCACAGUUAUAAACAAAAACAAUUUAAGCACACAAAGGGCAAUGUUCUCUAAUCUCAACGACAUGUCAAAGGGAUGGAACAAUCAUCACUUUUUGUUUUGCUUUCCUCUAAGAGUAAUCUUAUUAUGGAUCUUGUGUUUGUCUUUCAUCUGAGAUAGUCGCCCGAAGUUUCCUCGUGAGACAACUUGGGGCAAACAAAGCGAUUUGAGUGUUAUCCCGCUGGCGAUUUACAUUAUAGUUGGUGGGAAGGCAUUUCGGGGGGGAUUAGUUGCCCGAAGAAGAGGCGAUUUGUCGAUGGGCGACUAAUCUCCCCAAGUAGCCACGUUUGCCACCACCCUUAAGGCCGAGCAGGUGCUCUGAUUAUUGUAUACCAACCAAAGGCUAUCCCUAUUCCUAGAUUAAAUAAGAUUGUGCAUGGAGAAUCCAUAGUGGCCGAAAUGGGUAAACUACUGUACUCAUCAAAACUUUUGCACAAAUUGAAGUUGAAAGUUCACUUUCCAUUAAAAACUAUACUGACCUCA